rnacentral:rRNA from 1 species
GGGGGGGGGGGGGGGGGGGGGGGGGGGGGGGGGGGGGGGGGGGCGGGUCGGGGUGGGGGGCGGAGGGGUGGGGAGCGGGUGGGAGUAUGGCCUUGUCUGCGGAGUAGUGCUGGGGAGGUGGUGGUCAUGCCGUACACGCGCGGUGGGGGAAAGAUUUAUCGGGGAAGGGUUAGCCCGCGUUGGAUUGGGCAGUUGGUGGGGUAAGGGCCUCCCAAGCCGACGAUCCAUAGCUGGGUUGAGAUGAUGAUCAGCGACACUGGGACUGAGACACGGCCCAGACUCCUACGGGAGGAAGCAGUGGGGAAUCUUAGACAAUGGGGGCAACCCUGAUCUAGCCAUGCCGCGUGAGUGAUGAAGGCCUUAGGGUUGUAAAGCUCUUUCAGCUGGGAAGAUAAUGACGGUACCAGCAGAAGAAGCCCCGGCUAACUCCGUG